CAUCUCCUUAAUCGGAGAGUUCCCUUCGGGGACAUUGGUGACAGGUGGUGCAUGGUUGUCGUCAGCUCGUGUCGUGAGAUGUUGGGUUAAGUCCCGCAACGAGCGCAACCCUUGUCUUUAGUUGCCAUCAUUAAGUUGGGCACUCUAGAGAGACUGCCAGGGAUAACCUGGAGGAAGGUGGGGAUGACGUCAAAUCAUCAUGCCCCUUAUGCUUAGGGCUACACACGUGCUACAAUGGGUAGUACAGAGGGUUGCCAAGCCGUAAGGUGGAGCUAAUCCCUUAAAGCUACUCUCAGUUCGGAUUGUAGGCUGAAACUCGCCUACAUGAAGCUGGAGUUACUAGUAAUCGCAGAUCAGAAUGCUGCGGUGAAUGCGUUCCCGGGUCUUGUACACACCGCCCGUCACACCACGGGAGUUGGAGACGCCCGAAGCCGAUUAUCUAACCUUUUGGAAGAAGUCGUCGAAGGUGGAAUCAAUAACUGGGGUGAAGUCGUAACAAGGUAGCCGUAUCGGAAGGUGCGGCUGGAUCACCUCCUUUCUAAGGA
rnacentral:rRNA from 1 species